rnacentral:rRNA from 1 species
UUAAGCGACUAAGCGUACACGGUGGAUGCCCUGGCAGUCAGAGGCGAUGAAGGACGUGCUAAUCUGCGAUAAGCGUCGGUAAGGUGAUAUGAACCGUUAUAACCGGCGAUUUCCGAAUGGGGAAACCCAGUGUGUUUCGACACACUAUCAUUAACUGAAUCCAUAGGUUAAUGAGGCGAACCGGGGGAACUGAAACAUCUAAGUACCCCGAGGAAAAGAAAUCAACCGAGAUUCCCCCAGUAGCGGCGAGCGAACGGGGAGCAGCCCAGAGCCUGAAUCAGUGUGUGUGUUAGUGGAAGCGUCUGGAAAGGCGCGCGAUACAGGGUGACAGCCCCGUACACAAAAAUGCACAUGCUGUGAGCUCGAUGAGUAGGGCGGGACACGUGGUAUCCUGUCUGAAUAUGGGGGACCAUCCUCCAAGGCUAAAUACUCCUGACUGACCGAUAGUGAACCAGUACCGUGAGGGAAAGGCGAAAAGAACCCCGGCGAGGGGAGUGAAAAAGAACCUGAAACCGUGUACGUACAAGCAGUGGGAGCACGCUUAGGCGUGUGACUGCGUACCUUUUGUAUAAUGGGUCAGCGACUUAUAUUCUGUAGCAAGGUUAACCGAAUAGGGGAGCCGAAGGGAAACCGAGUCUUAACUGGGCGUUAAGUUGCAGGGUAUAGACCCGAAACCCGGUGAUCUAGCCAUGGGCAGGUUGAAGGUUGGGUAACACUAACUGGAGGACCGAACCGACUAAUGUUGAAAAAUUAGCGGAUGACUUGUGGCUGGGGGUGAAAGGCCAAUCAAACCGGGAGAUAGCUGGUUCUCCCCGAAAGCUAUUUAGGUAGCGCCUCGUGAACUCAUCUCCGGGGGUAGAGCACUGUUUCGGCAAGGGGGUCAUCCCGACUUACCAACCCGAUGCAAACUGCGAAUACCGGAGAAUGUUAUCACGGGAGACACACGGCGGGUGCUAACGUCCGUCGUGAAGAGGGAAACAACCCAGACCGCCAGCUAAGGUCCCAAAGUCAUGGUUAAGUGGGAAACGAUGUGGGAAGGCCCAGACAGCCAGGAUGUUGGCUUAGAAGCAGCCAUCAUUUAAAGAAAGCGUAAUAGCUCACUGGUCGAGUCGGCCUGCGCGGAAGAUGUAACGGGGCUAAACCAUGCACCGAAGCUGCGGCAGCGACGCUUAUGCGUUGUUGGGUAGGGGAGCGUUCUGUAAGCCUGCGAAGGUGUGCUGUGAGGCAUGCUGGAGGUAUCAGAAGUGCGAAUGCUGACAUAAGUAACGAUAAAGCGGGUGAAAAGCCCGCUCGCCGGAAGACCAAGGGUUCCUGUCCAACGUUAAUCGGGGCAGGGUGAGUCGACCCCUAAGGCGAGGCCGAAAGGCGUAGUCGAUGGGAAACAGGUUAAUAUUCCUGUACUUGGUGUUACUGCGAAGGGGGGACGGAGAAGGCUAUGUUGGCCGGGCGACGGUUGUCCCGGUUUAAGCGUGUAGGCUGGUUUUCCAGGCAAAUCCGGAAAAUCAAGGCUGAGGCGUGAUGACGAGGCACUACGGUGCUGAAGCAACAAAUGCCCUGCUUCCAGGAAAAGCCUCUAAGCAUCAGGUAACAUCAAAUCGUACCCCAAACCGACACAGGUGGUCAGGUAGAGAAUACCAAGGCGCUUGAGAGAACUCGGGUGAAGGAACUAGGCAAAAUGGUGCCGUAACUUCGGGAGAAGGCACGCUGAUAUGUAGGUGAAGCGACUUGCUCGUGGAGCUGAAAUCAGUCGAAGAUACCAGCUGGCUGCAACUGUUUAUUAAAAACACAGCACUGUGCAAACACGAAAGUGGACGUAUACGGUGUGACGCCUGCCCGGUGCCGGAAGGUUAAUUGAUGGGGUCAGCGCAAGCGAAGCUCUUGAUCGAAGCCCCGGUAAACGGCGGCCGUAACUAUAACGGUCCUAAGGUAGCGAAAUUCCUUGUCGGGUAAGUUCCGACCUGCACGAAUGGCGUAAUGAUGGCCAGGCUGUCUCCACCCGAGACUCAGUGAAAUUGAACUCGCUGUGAAGAUGCAGUGUACCCGCGGCAAGACGGAAAGACCCCGUGAACCUUUACUAUAGCUUGACACUGAACAUUGAGCCUUGAUGUGUAGGAUAGGUGGGAGGCUUUGAAGUGUGGACGCCAGUCUGCAUGGAGCCGACCUUGAAAUACCACCCUUUAAUGUUUGAUGUUCUAACGUUGACCCGUAAUCCGGGUUGCGGACAGUGUCUGGUGGGUAGUUUGACUGGGGCGGUCUCCUCCUAAAGAGUAACGGAGGAGCACGAAGGUUGGCUAAUCCUGGUCGGACAUCAGGAGGUUAGUGCAAUGGCAUAAGCCAGCUUGACUGCGAGCGUGACGGCGCGAGCAGGUGCGAAAGCAGGUCAUAGUGAUCCGGUGGUUCUGAAUGGAAGGGCCAUCGCUCAACGGAUAAAAGGUACUCCGGGGAUAACAGGCUGAUACCGCCCAAGAGUUCAUAUCGACGGCGGUGUUUGGCACCUCGAUGUCGGCUCAUCACAUCCUGGGGCUGAAGUAGGUCCCAAGGGUAUGGCUGUUCGCCAUUUAAAGUGGUACGCGAGCUGGGUUUAGAACGUCGUGAGACAGUUCGGUCCCUAUCUGCCGUGGGCGCUGGAGAACUGAGGGGGGCUGCUCCUAGUACGAGAGGACCGGAGUGGACGCAUCACUGGUGUUCGGGUUGUCAUGCCAAUGGCACUGCCCGGUAGCUAAAUGCGGAAGAGAUAAGUGCUGAAAGCAUCUAAGCACGAAACUUGCCCCGAGAUGAGUUCUCCCUGACUCCUUGAGAGUCCUGAAGGAACGUUGAAGACGACGACGUUGAUAGGCCGGGUGUGUAAGCGCAGCGAUGCGUUGAGCUAACCGGUACUAAUGAACCGUGAGGCUUAACCUU